rnacentral:rRNA from 1 species
CGAUAACGAACGAGACCUUAACCUGCUAAAUAGCCCGUAUUGCUUUGGCAGUACGCCGGCUUCUUAGAGGGACUAUCGGCUCAAGCCGAUGGAAGUUUGAGGCAAUAACAGGUCUGCGAUGCCCUUAGAUGUUCUGGGCCGCACGCGCGCUACACUGACAGAGCCAGCAAGUACUCCCUUGGCCGGAAGGCCCGGGUAAUCUUGUUAAACUCUGUCGUGCUGGGGAUAGAGCAUUGCAAUUAUUGCUCUUCAACGAGGAAUCCCUAGUAAGCGCAAGUCAUCAGCUUGCGUUGAUUACGUCCCUGCCCUUUGUACACACCGCCCGUCGCUACUACCGAUUGAAUGGCU